AUAGUACGGCGGCCAGUGUGUGGAAUCGGGCUUAUUAGAUACCCUGGUAGUCACCGCAGUAAACGAUGAAUACUCGUGGUCGGCCCCGAACGGGGGCUGCGCGGCCAAGCGAANAGCGUUAAGUAUUCCACCUGGGGAGUACGCGGGCAACGGUGAAACUCAAAGGAAUUGACGGGGGCCCGCACAAGCGGAGGAACAUGUGGUUUAUUCGAUGAUACGCGAGGAACCUUACCCGGCUCAAACGGACGAGGAAGCCGCGGGAAACGGCGGUGCCCCACGGGGCCCUGUCCGAGGUGCUGCAUGGUUGUCGUCAGCUCGUGCCGUGAGGUGUCGGCUUAAGUGCCAUAACGAGCGCAACCCNCCAUCGCCAGUUGCCAUCAAGUAAAGUUGGGGACUCUGGCGAGACUGCCGGCGCAAGCUGCGAGGAAGGCGGGGAUGACGUCAAAUCAGCACGGCCCUUACGUCCGGGGCGACACACGUGUUACAAUGGCAGGUACAGAGAGAGGCGACACGGCGACGUGGAGCGGAACUGAUAAAACCUGUCUCAGUUCGGAUCGGAGUCUGCAACCCGACUCCGUGAAGCUGGAUUCGCUAGUAAUCGCGCAUCAGCCAUGGCGCGGUGAAUACGUUCCCGGGCCUUGUACACACCGCCCGUCAAGCCAUGGAAGCCGGGGGUGCCUGAAGUGUGCGACCGCAAGGAGCGCCCUAGGGUAAAACCGGUGACUGGGGCUAAGUCG
rnacentral:rRNA from 1 species